rnacentral:rRNA from 1 species
GAUGAACGCUGGCGGCGUGCCUAAUACAUGCAAGUCGAACGAAGAUCUAGCUUGCUAGAUCUUAGUGGCGAACGGGUGAGUAAUACAUAAAUAAUCUGCCCAUAUGACUGGGAUAACUAUUGGAAACGAUAGCUAAUACCGGAUAGGUUGAUCGGAGGCAUCUCUGAUGAAUUAAAGUAGGAUUUCUACACAAAUGGAUGAGUUUAUGGCGCAUUAGUUAGUUGGUGGGGUAACGGCCUACCAAGGCGAUGAUGCGUAGCCGACCUGAGAGGGUGACCGGCCACACUGGGACUGAGACACGGCCCAGACUCCUACGGGAGGCAGCAGUAGGGAAUUUUCGGCAAUGGGCGCAAGCCUGACCGAGCAACGCCGCGUGAGUGAUUAAGGCCUUCGGGUUGUAAAGCUCUGUUGUAAGGGAAGAACAUUCAGGAUAGGAAAUGAUCUUGAACUGACGGUACCUUACCAGAAAGCCACGGCUAACUACGUGCCAGCCGCCGCAGUAAUAC